ensembl:Mt_tRNA
GGUAGAAUGACUGAAAUAGUGGUGGAUUGUAACUCCCUAAAUAGAGGUUUGAGUCCUCUUUCUCCCA